CCUCUGGGUCAACCUCCCACCCGUGUCUAUCGUACCUUGUUGCUUCGGCGGGCCCGCCGUUUCGACGGCCGCCGGGGAGGCCUUGCGCCCCCGGGCCCGCGCCCGCCGAAGACCCCAACAUGAACGCUGUUCUGAAAGUAUGCAGUCUGAGUUGAUUAUCGUAAUCAGUUAAAACUUUCAACAACGGAUCUCUUGGUUCCGGCAUCGAUGAAGAACGCAGCGAAAUGCGAUAAGUAAUGUGAAUUGCAGAAUUCAGUGAAUCAUCGAGUCUUUGAACGCACAUUGCGCCCCCUGGUAUUCCGGGGGGCAUGCCUGUCCGAGCGUCAUUGCUGCCCUCAAGCACGGCUUGUGUGUUGGGCCCCCGUCCCCCUCUCCCGGGGGACGGGCCCGAAAGGCAGCGGCGGCACCGCGUCCGGUCCUCGAGCGUAUGGGGCUUUGUCACCUGCUCUGUAGGCCCGGCCGGCGCCAGCCGACACCCAACUUUAUUUUUCUAAGGUUGACCUCGGAUCAGGUAGGGAUACCCGCUGAACUUAAGCAUAUCAAUAAGCGGAGGAA
rnacentral:rRNA from 1 species